AUAGUGUUUUUGAGUCAAAAUUGGAAAAUGAAAAUCACACCAGAGAGCAAGCCUUUUAGCAAGAGCUUAGCACACAAGGCUGGUGGAAGAUUCCAUUUUCUAUGAAAGAAAAGCUCCAUGCUAAGGGGCAGUACUUAGACCUGAAGGACCUAGGAGAGGGUUCCCAGUCUGAAAAUAUCACAGCAGUGAUCUCUGCGCAGCAGCAGGUUCCCGAGUCCACGGCUCAGCCAUUGAACAGCUACUGAGUGAGCAGUUCCUGAGUGUGUCCAGUCAUCAGAGGCCUGGGAAAACGCAGCAUACAUGAGGGCAAAACAGUGACAUCCUUGCUUUCACCAAACGUGCAUUUUAGCCUUUCCGGUAAGAUCUGCCCUAAUCACAUUUCUAUUAGCUGAAGAGCUGGGAAAGGUUCCUGUAGUAGGUUUGAGCUAGAGUCAAACCAACCAAGUAGCUGGGCUGUGGGUUCCAUGGUGUGUGAGUGCGUGUUCAAUUCCAUUAUUUCCUGAGUCUUGGCAAGUCAUGACUGACUUAGAGUUGAGCAGAAAUGAUUUAUCCCAGAGCCUUUGGGUUGAUGGAGCUAAAACCUGCUGGAAGCUGAGAGCAGCAAAGGUGUGUGACACUGACCUUGGGAUCUGUGCAGUGCAGCCACGAGGAGAGCGAUGAAGUGGAUGUUGGUUCAGCUUUGAACAGCCUUGUGCUGAGGGAGGGGGUUCUCAUUUCUCAGCCCCUUGCUUGUCAUAUGUGGAGAUCUGCAUGUUCAAUCCUAGGUCCAGACGCUUUCUGUGAAGAAAAAGACUCAGAAGUAAUCCCAUAGGAAAUACUUUACCUGCCAUGAUAUCAAGGUGGUUCUGGGUUUUUAUUUUUGUGUUUCCCAUGAGAUGGCUAUGCUUUCUGAGUUUGCCUAGAUGCAUGCAUGAUCAUCAAGCAGUGGCCGCUUUCCUUUGUUACCACAAAGUUGACAGCAAAAACUAGGGAUGCACUUGCUUUUGCUCGCUGGCAAGUCCUGGUUUAUGGGAGCAUUCAAGGUUAUCUUGUUUAGAUAGGCUUAGUUAUAUGACCCUACAAUUUCUUUUUUAUCUUAUGUACAAAGAAUUUUCUGCCUAUGAUGUGGGAAGUGCUCUGUCGUGCUGACCCAGGGCAAGGUGACAUGUGCAUCCGUAGCCUCUAGCAUGCAAUAGCUCCAACAUGGACAAGAACCUGGGGAAAACGUGACUGCAGGUGACAAGCCUUUGCUCCACUGGUUUUACCUUUGGGAACUGCUAGACUCACAUGCCAUCCUUUAAUUGGUCUGUGAUGUAGCCUGAGCCCUGACAAUUUUGAAAAGAUGUAUUUUGUUCAAAAUAUUAAGAGAGAUUUUUCAUCUGCUGUUUUACUUUCCAGAAGGCUCUAAUGAUUUGAGUUAGGCCAUGCCAAAGUCAAGAUCCAACAGCUAUUUCUGGCUCUCCCAUGUGAGUGGCAUGGGCCCAAAUACUUGGACUGUCGUCUGCCAUGUUUCCCAGACCAUUAGCAGGAUGCUGUAUUAAAGUUGCAGAAGCUCCACUUGUCUCUCCGUUCCCCCUAGAUACAGGAGGAACAAAAAGAAAAUCCAGAAACAAUGAUCUCACCCAGUGUCCCCUAACUCUCGUUCCCUUCCACCCUGAUCAACUAUGGAAAAAUAAAUAAAUAAAUUCAGUUCAAUUAGAAAAAAAGAAAGUAGAGAAACCAGGACAUAUGCAUGGCCAUAUGGGAUGCUGUUGUACGAGGUGGCCUUACUCAUGCCAACACAGUAUUAGCCCUGUCUUGAUGUUUUCAAUAUACCCCUCAGCCAGGGUUGUGAAUAUUAGCUUUUAUUAGUGUGGCUAACUGCCUGUCACACAUAUUUCUCAGUAUUAUUAUUUUUAGAGGAACGUAGAGCUUAAUUAAGUCAUGCUUUUUGGGGGGUACCUCAAUUUGCAUGCAUUUUGUCUGAAAGAACACCGAAGAGGAAGAGCACUCUUAUUUUCUGUUAUCUCCUGCUGCCUGGUGGAUUAAACAGAACAACCAGGGCCCAGUAUAAUGACUCCGUGACUAAAUCUUGCAUGUGGCAGUAUCAUAUGUGGAUGCCGGUUUGUGUCUCAGCUGCUCCAAUUCCCAUCCAGCUCCCUGCUUGUGACCUGGGAAAGCAGUUGAGGACGGCCCAAAGCCUUGGGACCCUGCACCCACGUGGGAGACACAGAAGAUUUGGGGAGUGAACGAGGGGAUGGAAGAGCUUUCCUGCCUUUCCAAUAAAAAUAAAUAAGUCUUUAAAAAAGAGAAUAGUCAGUGCUCCCAUGUAAGUUGCAUACAGAACAAACCUCCACCCACAGCUUUUGUAAAUUGUCUGUCUAGCCAGAUUUUCACUGGCUGAUUUUCAUUUUGGGUGCUUAAAGUAUAGCUUCCCUAUUCAGAAAUAUUUUAUACAUCUGAAUGUAUGACUCCUCAUUGUUUACAUGGCUUUGCACAGUUUGUUUAUAAAAAUGUUGACUUCAAUAAAAUUGAUAAGAUUCA